UACAGAGGUGGCAAGCGUUGUUCGGAAUUACUGGGCGUAAAGGGCGCGUAGGUGGCCAUCUAAGUCAGACGUGAAAUCCCCCGGCUUAACCUGGGAACUGCGUCUGAUACUGGACGGCUUGAGUAUGGGAGAGGGAUGUAGAAUUCCAGGUGUAGCGGUGAAAUGCGUAGAUAUCUGGAGGAAUACCGGUGGCGAAGGCGGCAUCCUGGACCAUUACUGACACUGAUCCGCGAAAGCUAGGGGAGCAAACGGG
rnacentral:rRNA from 1 species